rnacentral:misc_RNA from 1 species
UUUUGUGAUUUGGCACUAACAAAAAUGUUUUUAUUUUUUCCUCCCUCAUUUUCUCUCCUCCAUAGAGGCGAGCCUUCUCUUGGUUGAAUUUGAAAUCUCAAGAAACCAAAUAAAUUGAAAUUUUAUAGAAGGCAAACCAAGUUGAACCAAACUGAAGAGUUGAACAUAAUCGAAGAACCAUGUAGGUGUUGGUUCAGUUCAUUUUUUAUUUUUUAUUUAUUUUUAAUUUAAGCGGAAUAAUGCCCAGCCCUAUUCCCCGAUCCAACCGA